GAUGAACGCUAGCGGCAGGCCUAACACAUGCAAGUCGAGGGGCAUCGCGGUGCAGCAAUGCACUGGCGGCGACCGGCGUACGGGUGCGUGACGCGUAUGCAACCUGCCCCGCACCGGGGGAUAGCCCGCCGAAAGGCGGAUUAAUACCCCAUGGUCCCGGGGGCCCGCAUGGGCAUCCGGGUAAAGCCUUGGCGGUGCGGGAUGGGCAUGCGUGCCAUUAGCUGGCUGGUGGGGUAACGGCCCACCAGGGCAACGAUGGCUAGGGGGUCUGAGAGGAUGGUCCCCCACACUGGUACUGAGACACGGACCAGACUCCUACGGGAGGCAGCAGUGAGGAAUAUUGGUCAAUGGGCGGAAGCCUGAACCAGCCAUGCCGCGUGCGGGAUGAAGGCCCUACGGGUUGUAAACCGCUUUUCCCCGGGAAGAAUAACCCCGAUGAGUCGGGUGAUGCCGGUACCGGGGAAUAAGGAUCGGCUAACUCCGUG
rnacentral:rRNA from 1 species